rnacentral:rRNA from 1 species
UACGAAGGGGGCGAGCGUUGUUCGGAUUUACUGGGCGUAAAGGGCGCGCAGGCGGUCUUGAAAGUCAGGCGUGAAAGCCCCGGGCUUAACCUGGGAAUUGCGCUUGAUACUCUGAGACUGGAGUACGGGAGAGGAGAGUGGAAUUCCCAGUGUAGAGGUGAAAUUCGUAGAUAUUGGGAAGAACACCAGUGGCGAAGGCGGCUCACUGGUCCGGUACUGACGCUGAGGUGCGAAAGCGUGGGGAGCAAACAGG